UGGGGCAUGGCUCUAAAAAAGGCAAAAAAAAAAAAAGCAGAGAUUAGCAUGACCCAUGCAUAAGGAUGACAGGCAAAUUCAUGAAGUAUUUCAUAUAUUU
rnacentral:snRNA from 1 species